GACGAACGCUGGCGGCGUGCUUAACACAUGCAAGUCGAACGGAAAGGCCCUGCUUGCAGGGUACUCGAGUGGCGAACGGGUGAGUAACACGUGGGUGAUCUGCCCUGCACUUCGGGAUAAGCCUGGGAAACUGGGUCUAAUACCGGAUAGGAGCCAUUUUUAGUGUGAUGGUUGGAAAGUUUUUUCGGUGUAGGAUGAGCUCGCGGCCUAUCAGCUUGUUGGUGGGGUAAUGGCCUACCAAGGCGGCGACGGGUAGCCGGCCUGGGAGGGUGGACGGCCACAUUGGGACUGAGAUACGGCCCAGACUCCUACGGGGGGCAGCAGUGGGGAAUAUUGCACAAUGGGCGCAAGCCUGAUGCAGCGACGCCGCGUGGGGGAUGACGGCCUUCGGGUUGUAAACUCCUUUCGCUAGGGACGAAGCUUUUUGUGGCGGUACCUAGAUAAGAAGCACCGGCUAACUACGUG
rnacentral:rRNA from 1 species